CUAGAGGCUGUCUUCAGGAACCCCUGGGGCUGUGGAGGACUGCAAGGAGCGCGGCCCCUGCUCCGCACCUCCCAGAAUUUUACCUGAGAGAUUUGUGAUCUGGUCCAUGUGGUUUUCACAACAGAACACAGCUGCACCACAGAAAAGUGAACUGUUCGUUAUAUGGCCAACUGGGUAUGCUUUGGAAUACACAGAAGAGACCUUCCCAUAACAUGAGAAAAGAUAAUCAGCAGGUCCUCUCCACUCUCUUCUGCUCUACCUGUGCCAUUCUCAGCACAGUGUAUUCCAAGAAUAGACUGAUGCCCAAAAGGAAAGUCAAGGACAUAUCCUGGGUCCUCUUCAGACUCAGAUUUCCUCACUGGACAGCAAGACCCACAAUAAAUCUACUUUCGGGUGUUGAAAGAAUCGCUGUACACCUGCUGGAAUGGCUACAAUCAGACUGAGAGUGCCAAGUGUUGGCAAGAAUAUGGAGAAGUUGUAAUCUGAAGACAUUCCUGAUAGAAAAGCAAAAUGGCACACUUUGGGAAUGGUUGACAAUUUCUUUAAAGUUAAGCAUGCAUAUAUAUUCACAACCAAGGAAUUCAGUCCAAAAGCUAUGCACACACAUUCAGUCCAAAAGAACUGAGAAACACAUUCACUCAGACUUGCAUACAAAUGGUCAUAGUAACUUUAUUCAUAGAAUCCAAGACUAGA